rnacentral:rRNA from 1 species
UACGUAGGGGGCAAGCGUUGUCCGGAUUUAUUGGGCGUAAAGAGCGUGUAGGCGGCUUUACAGGUCCGUUGUGAAAACUCGAGGCUCAACCUCGAGACGCCGGUGGAAACCGUAAAGCUAGAGUCCGGAAGAGGAGAGUGGAAUUCCUGGUGUAGCGGUGAAAUGCGCAGAUAUCAGGAGGAACACCCGUGGCUAAGGCGGCUCUCUAGUACGGUACUGACGCUGAGACGCGAAAGCGUGGGGAGCGAACAGG